UGAGGAAUCUUGGGCGAUGGGGGAAACCCUGACCCAGCCACGCCGCGUGGAGGAAGACACCCCUACGGGGCGUAAACUCCUUUUGUGCGAGAAGAAGGUCCCGUUUGUCGGGAUUUGACGGUACCGCACGAAUAAGCACCGGCUAACUCCGUGCCAGCAGCCGCGGUAAUACGGAGGGUGCAAGCGUUGUCGGGAAUUAUUGGGUGUAAAGGGUGUGUAGGCGGACUUGUAAGUCAGAGGUGAAAGCCCGCGGCUCAACCGUGGAAUUGCCCCUGAUACUGCAGGUCUUGAGUCCUGGAGAGGUCGCUGGAAUUCGUGGUGUAGCGGUGAAAUGCGUAGAUAUCACGAGGAACACCAGAGGUGUAGACGGGUGACUGGAAAGGAACUGACGCUGAGGCACGAAAGCGUGGGGAGCAAACAGGAUUAGAUACCCCCGGAGUCC
rnacentral:rRNA from 1 species